GAUGAAGAACGCAGCGAAAUGCGAUAAGUAGUGUGAAUUGCAGAAUUCAGUGAAUCAUCGAAUCUUUGAACGCACAUUGCGCCGCUUGGUAUUCCAUGGGGCAUGCCUGUUCGAGCGUCAUUUGUACCUUCAAGCUUUGCUUGGUGUUGGGUGUUUGUCUCGCCUUUGCGUGUAGACUCGCCUUAAAAUAAUUGGCAGCCGGCGUAUUGAUUUCGGAGCGCAGUACAUCUCGCGCUUUGCACUCAUAACGACAGCGUCCAAAAGUACAUUUUACACUCUUGACCUCGGAUCAGGUAGGGAUACCCGCUGAACUUAAGCAUAUCAAUAAGCGGAGGA
rnacentral:misc_RNA from 1 species